GCCUGAGUGGCCGAGCGGUUCUAGGCACUGCAGUCUGGAACGCUGCGGGCGCAGGUUCGAAUCCUGCCUCGGGCA
rnacentral:tRNA from 1 species